rnacentral:rRNA from 1 species
AUUGAACGCUGGCGGCAGGCCUAACACAUGCAAGUCGCACGAGUGGCGGACGGGUGAGUAAUGUCUGGGAAACUGCCUGAUGGAGGGGGAUAACUACUGGAAACGGUAGCUAAUACCGCAUACCAUCGGAUGUGCCCCGAUGGGAUUAGCUAGUAGGUGGGGUAAAGGCUCACCUAGGCGACGAUCCCUCGCUGGUCUGAGAGGAUGACCAGCCACACUGGAACUGAGACACGGUCCAGACUCCUACGGGAGGCAGCAGUGGGGAAUAUGCCGCAAUGGGCGCAAGCCUGAUCCAGCCAUGCCGCGUGUAUGAAGAAGGCUUUCGGGUUGUAAAGUACUUUCAGCGGGGAGGCGUUACCCGCAGAAGAAGCACCGGCUAACUCCGUGCCAGCAGCCGCGGUAAUAC